GCAGCUUCUUCUUACCCCCUAAACACUGCAUCCGUAGACUUCCAUAACCCAGCAACAACCAUACCUCCGUGAAUACCUAGCCUUGGUGGGAAAUCUGAAAAACUGCAAUGCGAAAGGUAAAUCAUUCUCAAAUCUUUUGAUUUCCUGUUCAGAUUUAUUUAUUUGAGGAAAAUGUACAAAAUAUAACACAUGCAUGUGGUGUUAUCUGUUUGAGGACCCCCAAUAAUUUCAAAUAUGAGACAAUAACACAAGAACAACACCCUGAGUCGCCAUCUCUUCUCAACCAAAUCAUGUGUCUCCCAAGCCUCAAGCCAUCACAAAUUCGAGUUCUAAGCAUGCAGAUCGAGACCAUUGCACACAUGCAACGUAGGUACCUGAGAUUUACAAAGAGACUGAAGAGACUAACUCAAAAAAAAAUUCCCAAACUCACGGAUCUGCAAAUUUUGAGCGUACAACCGAGAGAAAACAAGCUUAAGCUGCCGGUCUAAUGGUCCAGAAGGCAAAAUAAAUGGCAAAUGUCUCGGCCUCUGCAAAUCAUAAAGGGGUAUACGGAUCCAUGAUAGAGCCAAGGAAACAAAAGUAAACACACAAGCUCAACGGACGAAAACAGCACAGGCCGCAUGACCCAGAUUGGUGCAUCUGGGAGGUAAAAUCUGAAUCCCUGCAAGUGAAGUUGUUGUAGAUCUGGUAAUAAUAGUUGUAUUCAAUUCUGUGGUGUAUGGAGCUGUGAUUUUAACUUUGCUUCUCCUCUAUGCAUCCCAAAACUGAGCUGCAGAAAAUUAAGUUCUCAAAAUUAUGUUUAUGUGUUGGAUCUGCAACAAUCACCCCCAAACUUGCAUCUGUGAAUGACUUUAUGUUGACUGUUUUAAAUUUCCAGCUUAGUGUAGAUGUGGUUGAUGUUAAUAUAGACUUGCUGCUGGGUGCAUGAUUCUAGUAUAGGAUGCUCUUUAUUUUCCAUGUUUUCAACCUGCAAUUAACCAAUAAAUGUGAAUAUUAAAAAUGGAGCUAAAAUCAACAUGCAUAAAUAAAGAAAGCGACAUAUUCUUUGAUUUUUCAUGGUUUUUUUUUUUUUUUUUUUUUUUUUGAAAACUUAGGUAUA